UACGAAGGGGGCUAGCGUUGUUCGGAAUUACUGGGCGUAAAGCGCGCGUAGGCGGAUCUGUAAGUUAGGGGUGAAAUCCCGAGGCUCAACCUCGGAACUGCCUUCGAUACUGCAGAUCUCGAGUCCGAGAGAGGUGAGUGGAAUUCCUAGUGUAGAGGUGAAAUUCGUAGAUAUUAGGAAGAACACCAGUGGCGAAGGAGGCUCACGGGCUCGGUACUGACGCUGAGGCGCGAAAGCGUGGGGAGCAAACAGG
rnacentral:rRNA from 1 species